rnacentral:lncRNA from 1 species
AGGUUAAAAAAACACAUACUCUAAAAAACAUUUUUAAGUACAUUUUUAUUACAUUGUAUUUUUUUAUACAAACUUUUAAAAGAACUCAUGUUUACAAGUGAUUGCCUCAUUACAUUUCCUGGAGAUGUUGGUCUUUUUGCCAUUGUGGGCAAUGUCACCUGCUUUGGAGAAUAAUCAGUUUUUUAGCUCACCACCCCCAUUCACAUAAUAAAUUUUAUAUAGGCCAAAUUGCUGAACAAUGGAUAUUGAGUAAAACAGAUUAUAACAUGACUUUACCAGAAAAAGUUGUUAAUUGGCCAUGAGUGUUGAUUGUAUCCUUGCAUGAAGUUUAUAUUGCUCUUUUUGGUUGUUUUUAUUUCAAGAAGACAAGGACAACAUUUUUG